UACGUAGGGGGCAAGCGUUGUCCGGAUUUAUUGGGCGUAAAGAGCGUGUAGGCGGCCAGACAGGUCUGCUGUGAAAACUCGAGGCUCAACCUCGAGACGCCGGUGGAAACCGUUUGGCUAGAGUCCGGAAGAGGAGAGUGGAAUUCCUGGUGUAGCGGUGAAAUGCGCAGAUAUCAGGAAGAACACCCGUGGCUAAGGCGGCUCUCUAGUACGGUACUGACGCUGAGACGCGAAAGCGUGGGGAGCAAACAGG
rnacentral:rRNA from 1 species